AGUGCCCUCUCCGAUAAAAUUGGAACUAUAAGAGAAGAUUAGCAUGGCCCUUGCGCAAGGAUGACACACACAAAUUAAGAAAUGCAAUAGGAUCUC
rnacentral:snRNA from 1 species